rnacentral:rRNA from 1 species
UAAUUCGAUCAUACCAGCACUAAUGCAUCGGAUCCAUUAGAACUCCGCAGUUAAGCGCGCUUGGGCGAUAGUAGUACUAGGAUGGGUGACGUUCCUUCUGUUUGGAAUUCAAGUCCUGUUAUGU